UACAGAGGGUGCGAGCGUUAAUCGGAAUUACUGGGCGUAAAGCGUGCGUAGACGGUCAUACAAGUCGGGUGUGAAAGCCCCGGGCUCAACCUGGGAAUUGCAUUCGAAACUGUAUGGCUAGGGUGCGGAAGAGGGAAGCGGAAUUUCCGGUGUAGCGGUGAAAUGCGUAGAUAUCGGAAGGAACACCAGUGGCGAAAGCGGCUUCCUGGUCCAACACCGACGUUCAGGCACGAAAGCGUGGGGAGCAAACAGGAUUAGAUACCCUGGUAGUCCACGCCAUAAACGAUGAGAACUAGACGUUGGAAGGGUUAGCCUUUCAGUGUCGCAGCUAACGCGUUAAGUUCUCCGCCUGGGGAGUACGGCCGCAAGGUUGAAACUCAA
rnacentral:rRNA from 1 species